UUUGCGUCGAAGGUAUACCGGUAAGGAGUGCUGGAGCGAAUAGAAGUGAGCAUGCAGGCAUGAGUAGCGAUAAUUAAUGUGAGAAUCAUUAACGCCGUAAACCCAAGGUUUCCUACGCGAUGCUCGUCAUCGUAGGGUUAGUCGGGUCCUAAGUCGAGUCCGAAAGGGGUAGACGAUGGCAAAUUGGUUAAUAUUCCAAUACCAACAUUAGUGUGCGAUGGAAGGACGCUUAGGGCUAAGGGGGCUAGCGGAUGGAAGUGCUAGUCUAAGGUCGUAGGAGGUUAUACAGGCAAAUCCGUAUAACAAUACUCCGAGAACUGAAAGGCUUUUUGAAGUCUUCGGAUGGAUAGAAGAACCCCUGAUGCCGUCGAGCCAAGAAAAGUUUCUAAGUUUAGCUAAUGUUGCCCGUACCGUAAACCGACACAGGUGGGUGGGAUGAGUAUUCUAAGGCGCGUGGAAGAACUCUCUUUAAGGAACUCUGCAAAAUAGCACCGUAUCUUCGGUAUAAGGUGUGGUUCGCUUCGUAUUAGGAUUUACUCCGAAAGCGAAGAAACUUACAACAAAGAGUCCCUCCCGACUGUUUACCAAAAACACAGCACUCUGCUAACUCGUAAGAGGAUGUAUAGGGUGUGACGCCUGCCCGGUGCUCGAAGGUUAAUUGAUGGGGUUAGCAUUAGCGAAGCUCUUGAUCGAAGCCCGAGUAAACGGCGGCCGUAACUAUAACGGUCCUAAGGUAGCGAAAUUCCUUGUCGGUUAAAUACCGACCUGCAUGAAUGGCGUAACGAGAUGGGAGCUGUCUCAAAGAGGGAUCCAGUGAAAUUGUAGUGGAGGUGAAAAUUCCUCCUACCCGCGGCAAGACGGAGAGACCCCGUGGACCUUUACUACAGCUUGACACUGCUAUUUGGAUAAGAAUGUGCAGGAUAGGUGGGAGGCUUUGAGUAUAUGACGCCAGUUGUAUAUGAGCCAUUGUUGAGAUACCACUCUUUCUUAUUUGGGUAGCUAACCAGCUUGAGUUAUCCUCAAGUGGGACAAUGUCUGGUGGGUAGUUUGACUGGGGCGGUCGCCUCCCAAAUAAUAACGGAGGCUUACAAAGGUUGGCUCAGAACGGUUGGAAAUCGUUCGUAGAGUAUAAAGGUAUAAGCCAGCUUAACUGCAAGACAUACAAGUCAAGCAGAGACGAAAGUCGGUCUUAGUGAUCCGGUGGUUCUGUGUGGAAGGGCCAUCGCUCAAAGGAUAAAAGGUACCCCGGGGAUAACAGGCUGAUCUCCCCCAAGAGCUCACAUCGACGGGGAGGUUUGGCACCUCGAUGUCGGCUCAUCGCAUCCUGGGGCUGGAGCAGGUCCCAAGGGUAUGGCUGUUCGCCAUUUAAAGCGGUACGCGAGCUGGGUUCAGAACGUCGUGAGACAGUUCGGUCCCUAUCUGCCGUGGGCGUAAGAAGAUUGAAGAGAUUUGACCCUAGUACGAGAGGACCGGGUUGAACAAACCACUGGUGUAGCUGUUGUUCUGCCAAGAGCAUCGCAGCGUAGCUAAGUUUGGAAAGGAUAAACGCUGAAAGCAUCUAAGCGUGAAGCCAACUCUAAGAUGAAUCUUCUCUAAGCUCUCUAGAAGACUACUAGUUUGAUAGGCUGGGUGUGUAAUGGAUGAAAGUCCUUUAGCUGACCAGUACUAAUAGAGCGUUUGGCUUAUCUUUAAUAAAGCAU
rnacentral:rRNA from 2 species